rnacentral:misc_RNA from 1 species
CUCGACAAGCAGAUGUGUUUCCAGAUCGAGACCACUUUGGCCGUACAUUCUAUAAUCAGGCAAUUAUGUCUUCUAAAAAUAUUGCACAG